rnacentral:rRNA from 1 species
AUUGAACGCUGGCGGAAUGCUUUACACAUGCAAGUCGAACGAUGAAACCUAGCUUGCUAGGUCGAUUAGUGGCGAACGGGUGAGUAAUAUAUCGGAACGUAUCCAAUAAUGGGGGAUAACUAGUCGAAAGAUUGGCUAAUACCGCAUACGUCCUACGGGAGAAAGCUGGGGAUCGUAAGACCUGGCGUUAAUGGAGCGGCCGAUAUCUGAUUAGCUAGUUGGUGGGGUAAAGGCUCACCAAGGCAACGAUCAGUAGCUGGGCUGAGAGGACGACCAGCCACCCUGGAACUGAGACACGGUCCAGACUCCUACGGGAGGCAGCAGUGGGGAAUUUUGGACAAUGGGCGCAAGCCUGAUCCAGCCAUUCCGCGUGAGUGAAGAAGGCCUUCGGGUUGUAAAGCUCUUUCGCAAGGGAAGAACACUUAAUCUCUAACAUAGAUUGAGGUUGACGGUACCUUGAUAAGAAGCACCGGCUAACUACGUGCCAGCCGCCGCCGUAA